GACAGAGGGUGCAAACGUUGUUCGGAAUUACUGGGCGUAAAGCGCGUGUAGGCGGUUCGUAAAGUCGGAUGUGAAAGCCCUGGGCUCAACCUGGGAAUGGCACUCGAUACUGGGAAGCUAGAGUGCGGUAGAGGAGGGUGGAAUUCCCGGUGUAGCGGUGAAAUGCGUAGAGAUCGGGAGGAACAUCAGUGGCGAAGGCGACCCUCUGGACCAGCACUGACGCUGAGGCACGAAAGCGUGGGGAGCAAACAGG
rnacentral:rRNA from 1 species